UACGUAGGGUGCGAGCGUUAAUCGGAAUUACUGGGCGUAAAGCGUGCGCAGGCGGUUUUGUAAGUCAGAUGUGAAAUCCCCGGGCUCAACCUGGGAAUGGCAUUUGGGACUGCAAGGCUUGAGUGCGGCAGAGGAGACUGGAAUUCCUGGUGUAGCAGUGAAAUGCGUAGAUAUCGGAAGGAACAUCAGUGGCGAAAGCGGCUUCCUGGACCAGCACCGACGUUCAGGCACGAAAGCGUGGGGAGCAAACAGG
rnacentral:rRNA from 1 species